rnacentral:rRNA from 1 species
AUGGCCAAGGGCCGCAACAAGAACAAGGCCAAGAAUGGCGCCGGCGCCGCCGCCAUGGACGCCUCCGAGGGCGCGCCCGCUGCGUCCACCGCAGCAGAAGCCCCACAACCGAUGGAUACGUCCGAGGGGAAGCAGCCGUCCUCUUCAUCGGCUGCCCUCAGUUCGAUCAACAGGAAAAUAAAAAAGGGCGUGCAACCUAAAAGGACAAAAAAUGUGAGGAAAAUGAAAGCAGUUGCCAGGGCCAUUUCUAAAACUGAGAAGUCCGAGGAGAAGGUCCUGAAAGCAAAAAGCAAGAAGUCAAGGAUUCAGUCUGCCAAGUCUUUGUAUGAUUAA